GGUAGCCGAAAAUAACGGCGGGGUUCAGAGUCGGGUUGGUGAUGAUGCGGACAUCGCCACCGCCCGGUGCCCAAGUGUCAUAGACACCACCAAACACGCAAGCCUUCAGAACCAGCAGCAGCGCACCGCAACCCAGCAGGAUGAGGUGGUAGCCGAUGAUGUUGGUCAUCUGGUUCUUGUCUUUCCA
rnacentral:antisense_RNA from 1 species